rnacentral:lncRNA from 1 species
UUUCUUUUAUUUCUACUUUGGAUGAUACUUGCUAUGUUUUAAUAUUUGAAGCAUGAAACUUUGGAUGUUUUUCCUUUUAUUUUUGCUACCAUAUUUAGCUAAUAUGCUUUGGAUGCUUUGCACUAAAUUCCUUGUCUUAUGCUUUUAUUUUUUCUUUCUCAUUUCCAUGUUCUUAUCUGCUUUAUUUUCUUUUCUUUUAUAUCCUUUUAUCAUGAUCUAUAUAAUCUUUU